AUUGAACGCUGGCGGCAGGCUUAACACACGCAAGUCGAGCGGGGGAAGGUAGCUUGCUACCGGACCUAGCGGCGGACGGGUGAGUAAUGCUUAGGAAUCUGCCUAUUAGUGGGGGACAACAUCUCGAAAGGGAUGCUAAUACCGCAUACGUCCUACGGGAGAAAGCAGGGGAUCUUCGGACCUUGCGCUAAUAGAUGAGCCUAAGUCGGAUUAGCUAGUUGGUGGGGUAAAGGCCUACCAAGGCGACGAUCUGUAGCGGGUCUGAGAGGAUGAUCCGCCACACGGGGACUGAGACACGGCCCAGACUCCUACGGGAGGCAGCAGUGGGGAAUAUUGGACAAUGGGGGGAACCCUGAUCUAGCCAUGCCGCGUGUGUGAAGAAGGCCUUAUGGUUGUAAAGCACUUUAAGCGAGGAGGAGGCUACUAUAGUUAAUACCUAGAGAUAGUGGACGUUACUCGCAGAAUAAGCACCGGCUAACUCUGUGCCAGCAGCCGCCGUAA
rnacentral:rRNA from 1 species